GGGUUUACUUAUUGGUCAGGCUUAAUUGUCUGUACUGGUGAGAUGGAUCUCUACCUUCUGAGGAACUUUCAUGCCAUUUAUUUGGUGUGAUGGGAAAUCAGGACUGUUACUUUGAAAAAAUUAGAGUGUUUAAAGCAGGCUAACGUCUGAAUACAUUAGCAUGGAAUAAUGAAAUAGGACGUUUGAUUCUAUUUUGUUGGUUUCUAGGAUCACCGUA
rnacentral:rRNA from 1 species